GUGCAUACUUAUUAGUGUACGACAUAAAUCGUAUUACAUACUGUUUCAUCUGCUGCUUUAUCGGAUGAGACACAGCAAACUAGAUCAGUUUGCAGCAGAUUAGAAGUUGGAUUAAACUGCCAGAAAUAGUGCACUCAGCUGGAAAAAAAUUUAAAGACUAAAAGCCCUUGCACUUACUUGGUAGCGGUGUAUGGACCUCAACCUUGACGUGAGCUGUAGCAGUGACCUUUGUUGUAACAUGUGGCUGUGGUGUUGGUGUUGAGGUUGAACUUUGUGAUGAAUUGUCACUGUUCUGAGAGGAACUCUGUAAAAAAAGAAAGAAACAAUUUUUAUAAUUCUGACUUCAAAUAUUAUCUGUUCAUCAGUGUUACAUGGUAUUGAAGCAACAGUAAAAUGUUUGUUUCCAGUUCAAUGCGUGAAAUAAUACUUGUUCAUUUUCUCAUAAAAAUUGUGAGCUAUAAAAACAAUCCAAUUCAUUUCCAAAACAAGUUUGUGAUGUAAAUGGGAACUGUUGUAUGAAAUAUAUUAAUUAAAAAGUUAUUAAUUUGAAGUAAUCUAAUUGGGACAGUAUAGAUAAUUAUCACUGUUUCCCACAGCAUUGGAAAGAUUAAUGAUAUUAAUUUAUUUUUAACAUUAAGGUACUGUCUUUGUGUAAUAAAAUGUACAGCAACAGUUUUGUUUAUAAAAUUGCUCAUUGCAGUACAUUUGUAGCUCUUAAAAAGUAUAGUGUAUUACUCAUGGAACAAAAGAAUAACUCAAGAAAAAUACUUUAAGCUGAUAAACUUUGUUUUCUAUUAAAUACUGAUAUUUUA